GGCGCGGCCCCGGUGCCGCGUACCGCCGCGUCAGCGCCCCGCUCUUCCCUCCGCACGGCCGUCUCUGGGCUGCGCUGCGGCGCCUCUUCGAGGCCGGCGGCCUCUCGGGGCGGAGGGUCAAGGCCCCGCGGCUUCCCCUGGGCUGCUCGCGGGGCCUCCCUCCCCUGUGACACGCUGUGCUCGGCUGCGUUCUCUACGCCUGAAGGAAGGCCCAGACUCGGCUUCCUGCCGCGCCAAGACCUCCUCGGCGGGGCGCCAGCCUCGGCGCCCGUGCCUGGUCCUGUCCUCCCGGGGGCCCGGCUGCCUUCCGCAGCGAGGAGCGGGCUGGAGGACCUGCCGUGCCCGCUGGGGCCUGCCGCGGGGCCGCCUGGCUCCGCUGCUCUGUCAGCUUGCGAAGGGAUUUUAGUUCUACGCUUACGGAUCGAUCCAGCUCACGCCAUUUUUUUCUGUUUUUUUUCCUAAAUAUGAACUUACAUUUCGCCUUGCAGUACGUGCUUUGCGAGUGGCGGGGAUGAGUGGGUGUUAAGUGUAGCAGUAACGGUCCUUGGGAGCACAAGUUGUGACUUGCCCUUAUCUUGUAGUGAGUUGGAGAUACUGCAGCUGUAGUGUUUGGAUGGUGGCAGUUCUCAGGGCAGGAAGUCCCCCGUGACGUGUGCUGUGCUAAGGUGUGCAGUUACUUUGCACAGUGUGAGAAAAUGAAGCAAGCUGCGGCAUGCCUGAAAUGAAGGACUAAAAGUGUGAAGGAAACUUAAAACGAUUUCCAUCUCUGCAUGCUCACGUGUGGUUUUCUAAGGAAUUUAAGCCUAUUAAUAUAAGUACAGUAAAUAAGAUUGUUGUAUGUCAUUCCUACCUACAUCAUAGACAUUUCCUGUAAUUAGACAAACUACACACUGAACAAAAAGGUAGCAACAGGCAUGCUCUGUUAAAACUUGCCAAACGCAGACAUUUUUAUUGCUUGGUGUUGUAAUAACGCCCCCAGAAAGGUUUUAUCUUUAAUACUUCUUUUUCCUCUUUACCAGAAACAAUAGUUCCCUUGUCCCUCUUUCUGUUUCACUAAGACAACUCAGUGUCUUCCUGUACUGUGCCUCUUAACUGCCACUUGUUCCAGCCCUAGUGAGGUUUAGAAGCGUCUCCUUCAUGUAUUCUUGUCCUUCAGAGGUGAACGAGACUUCUUAAAGGCUUAAAGUUAAGGACAUGAGACGCGGGGACAACUGAGUCUGCAGUCUUUAAAUUUAGAAGCUUGAUCUUCUUUCACUUUCACUGGUACAGAAGUGGCAGCCGAAUUAGGCCAAACUUGUGAGAACCGCAUCUGUUACAUGACCUUACCACUCCUGCUGCAUGAUAGUUUGCUUUUUGUUGUGAGGAAGAUGGGUUUCAAUUAAAGCAGUGUGGUGAAUUUCGCCUGAAGACCGAAGUCAAAUGGUAUUUUUCAGUUGUAAUUACUGAGAACUAAAAUCAAACAGAUACUUCGCUCUUGUUGCAGGCCACACUUCCUGCUUUGUGGUAGAUAUAUGGUUAUCCAUGCAGAAGGUGAAGUUAUCAAAUUAGAGACUAACCGUGGAGCAAAGUCAAAAAUACCAUACUGUGCAUUCAGAGAACAGAAAUGAUGUGUUUAAAAUACUUUUUAAUGGGAGUAUGGUGCUUAAAAAACUGGCAAUAGCUUUUAGUGUUAUGCAUCUUCAUUCCUAAAUGUCUAAAAUACUUGCAUGACCUGUUGCAUUGAUUUCCACAUGUGAUUAUAUAUGUACAUAUAUAUAUAAUACUAAAGAAGGUGCAUUGCAGCUUUAGGUAUGGAUUAGGAUUUUUUUUCAUUGUGAUUCAUUUGUAAUAUAUAAGAAUUUGUUAACAAUUUGUCCUUCUCAUAAUGAGAUUUCUCAUCCCUUUGAAUUAAACCUGAAAAAGAAAAGAAUAACUGCUCAGUACGUAAUUUCAGCUCCGUAGAUUAUACACUUUUUAUAUAUGUUCGAGGUCUGAUUUACACUUGCAGUGUCAUGUACUGAAUGGACAUUCCAAAUAUUUUCAGCAGUUGUCAGAGGAUCCUCCAUUUGGAUUUACUGCAGAGAGCACUGCCUGUCAGCUGCUGUUUCAAACUCCCUCUGUGUGCAGCACCUGUAUAGACUAGAACUGCCACUUCAGAAAUUACUGCUCUCUGGUACUUAAUAUGAGGAAAAUCAUAGCAAAUAAGACUACAGUUAGCUGGUAGGAAGGAAAUAAUAAUUGCCUAAGUCAUUUUUAUGGAAUUAUUUGUUUUCAUAGUAAUUUUCUUAUGAACAAAGUUCAAAAAAUAAGAUUUCCAGCUCAUUUGGUUGGUGCUAGGCCAAAGCAUGUUGGGUGAGAAGGAUUUUUACAUAGUCAGACAUGGAACAGAAAUAAGGCCAUAUACUGAAGUGAGAAGUAAUGGAGCUGAUGUGUCAUAACUUCUUCGAAGAUUACAAUGAAAUUUGUGUGGAACCUGCAAAAACAGCUACUGUUCACCAUAUGUGUACAAUGUAUGUAUUACUCAUUCUGUUAAAAAAUAACCUCAAUUCUAAUACGAGCUGACACACACAUGUAUGACCUUGCCCAAGACCCUGAGUCACUUUGUGUCUCUGCUUCCUUGUUUAUUUAAAGCAACAAAAACAAAACAAAACAGAAAAAACCAACAACAAAAAAACACACCCGGAUCGUAAUGCUGGCUGCAGUCAGAAAUAUCUUAACAUGGAACACUGAGUUGCUUAGAUAUGCUACUAUACUCAGUCUUAAAUACUGUAAAAGAAAAUCCCCCAGUGUUUGAGCAGACCACGUGUAAAUGAGUGAGGAUGCUUUUGUGAAAUGGUCACAAGGUCACAGGGAGUCAACCUUUGUAGAGCAUGGUAGUGACCAUCGGUUUUGUUGUAAACUUACCUGAAAAUCCUGAAAAUUAAACCUUCUCUUAAAAAAAGAAAUUGUCAGUGCAGUUGCUAGCAUAAUAUUCUAUUGUGGACCCACAGACUGAAAAGAAGGAUGUCAUGGAAGGGUUGCAAAGGUCAGGUAUUGGAGAAUUUCUCAUGCAGAAAGAUUCUGACGUGUGUUAUGAAGAACGGCCAAUUUGAGGCAGUUACUUUGUAAGAAGACACGUUCGGUAUUCUCAGAAUGUUUUGGUUCUGUUUGAAAAGAAGUCACAUUGCUAGAAAAAUAUCAGGAUGGAAAGAUAUUAUCUUUAUUUUACUUGAAGCUCAAAAAAAUAAAUUUGUUACUGCUUUUUUUUUUUUAAUUCAAGCUGUUUUCUAUAAAGAGUUAACUGGUGGCAUAAGGAAAAGUCUGUUGUAAGUAAUGUUGAUGUCACAGUGUGGUAGUAAGGAUUGUAAACUUGGGCUGGGAAUGAUUAGUGUUUUGUUAUAGAAAAUAUAAAGCUCUUGCCAAAAUCAAAGUGAAGUACACCUACAAUUAAAACAAAACACGACAUCUCAGAUUCCUGCAUAUUUUUAAUUGAUACGGAAGGUAGAGCCUGGUAUAAUUUAUGUUUUUGUUAGCCUUGCUGCCCAACUUUGUGCACAUGCCAAGUUGUCAUUUCCAGAAAUAUCACUCUUCUGGGGUAAAUGGAUCCACGUAACAUAAACAGACCCUGAACACCUCCGCAAAUGUAAUUGAGUAGUUUAUGCUAAAGGCCAGCGUUGAGUCCAGCCAAAUAAAACAGGAUAUUUGCAGAUUAUUUAUCCUUUUGCUUUAACCAUUUUUCUCUGCCGCUCCCACAACAAUGUAGUAGGAAACACUGAAUGGUCCUACUACUCCUGAGACAAAAGGUGAAUAAUUCCAUACUACGCAUUUUGUUUUCUUGAUGAAUGUUAUACUUUUAAAAAGUUAAUAAAUGUUGACUACACUUUUCAAAGCGAGGAGGCCAGAAAUUACCAAGGACAGAAACUUGUUUGCUGUUACAAGCAAGAUUUAGUUUUGUAGAAUUUGGUUACUUAACCUAAUUUACUUCUUAAGUGUAGCGUUAAAAAUAUUUUCUUCUAGAAAACUUAGGUGGUUUUUGGGGGGGAGGGAGGGUGUUUGUUUGUUUGUUUUUCAUACGUAAAAUGCAAUUGGUGAAAGCUUUUCAUUUUAAUUUUCCUAUAUUAUCAUUUUCCCUUCUUAGCUACUUCACUGCUGUACAAGUCCGGUGAGCACAAACAGUGUCAGUGUCUUGACUUUCCAAAAGCAAGGACUGAAUUUUGCAACCGUGGCGAAGAACAAUUGUAUGCCAGCUGUAAAGCAUGGUGUGUUUACUUUGUGCAGUCUUACGCAAUCUGCUGUAACAAGCACUGUGUGAGAGGUUGCCUGUUUGCUAGUUCAAAUGUUGCAAUUACACAUGUUGAUGUGGUGAGCGUGUUACUAAUGUUGACGUGAUAAAUGUAUGAGUGACACGCUGGUGUUUAUGAAAGCACACAGCUGAGUCAUUGCGCUUUUUGUCAGACUCCUCCUUGGUUUCAACUUCCAGGGAUGUUCUUAUCAUCAGAAUUGAGUGAAUGAACAUACAGAAGAACAUAGGUUUUGGAAAAUUGCAGAUACUCCAGUAUUACCUUUUCUUUUUUUGUUUGUGAAACGGUUCAAAAACAAAAAAAGCAUAGUGCUUUUUUCCUAAGUUAACUCAUUUGUGGAUAUAUUUAUUAAGUAUAAAUUCAGUGUUAUUGUUCAAGGCUAGGCAGUGAGAAGUGGGUGAACUUCGUAUCACUUAACUCCUUUUAUCUCAGCUUUCCUAUAUUGCUUACAUACAAUAGAAAGUAACCCCGUAUCACAGCCUGCCAUCACUCAUGUCCCUUGCACCUCUUUUUGCCAAAAGGAAAGGGAGGCAGAAAUUAGACAGCAGUUCUGUAUCUUGGGGUGUAACCAUACCCCAUCUACCAGUAACAUACGCAAUGCCAAUAAAUCUAAAUCCAAGACAAAUGCAAGCAAAGAUCAGCACCUCAGGUCAUAGUCUUUCUAAAAACUCUUAAUAGCACAUGCUAGGUUAUUGCAUCCAAAUCAGAAAAUUAAGAUUUGAGAUUUGUUCCUUCUAGUUUUAUUCCCUUGUUAUGUGACUAAAACAUGCAAGUAACCCUACCAAGCUUUGAUGUGACUUCCAGUAUGAAUGAAGUAUUACAGAUUAACUUCAAUGAUCUGUGCUGGGGAGAAGACGUGCAGUGAGAAUGAAGGGUCUUAAUCACCAAAUGGUUAUUUUAUUUUUUGUGGAUUAAAAGCCCACAGCUACAUGGAGUUUUAUUGGAAAGAGUGUAAUUUUUAGAGACUUAAAACCUUUCUAAUGCCUUUUACUUUUCUUACAAUUAAAUUAUGCCUCAUUCACCACUGUAAAUGUUUUGACAUGCAAAAAGGAGAGACAAGCUUGAAUUCUUAAAACCUGAAUUAAUGGAUUACUUACUAAACUGUUAAGAGCUGCAUUCUUGAUUCAGACCAGGAAAAGAUAACUUAUUAUUGUGUUGGAACAUGGCAAAGUUCAAUACUAGCACUGUGCUAUGGCACUUGGGACAGACAACAUAAAAAUUGUGUAAUUUACUAAAAAAGGAAAAAUUGCUUUCCCUUAGAAUCCUGGGGAAAAAUUAGAAAGUACUGUAGUUUUGUGAUGGUUUAUUCUUUUGGAAAUGUAAUGUGUACCCCUCAAUUAAACCUCAGAUUGGUUGAUUUACAGGAGAGCUGCCAUUCCAUACAGCUUAAAUCUUUGUCAGAAGUGAUUAAAUUAGCUAAUUUAGAAUUGUAGUAGAAAGGUGAAAAUAGGUCUCUGUAGGCCCUCAUGUUCCCCAAGGAAUGGAUUACAGGUAGUAGGCCGUGUAUCUGAUUUUCUCUUAACUCACUUUUUAAAAUAAAUACAGAUCAAAUUGUACAUGUUUUGGAAUUUGGCUUUCAAUGUAAUAUUUGGACUUAUUCACAAGUGACCAAUGUAUUAAAUAGAACUAACUAAAUAUGGGUGCAUGAUUUUGCAAAGAGAGACAAAAGAAUCUCAACUUAGGAUGACCAGCACGUUGAAUGAGGUGAUUCAGAGGGCUGGGGGACCCUUCCUGUGAGGCCAGAGGUCAGGUUGUUUGGGGUUUUGGGGAGCCUGGUUUAGUCGUAGGUGUCCCUGCUCAUGGCAGCAGAUUUGGAACAAGAAAAUCUUUAAGGACCCUUCCAACCUAUUCUGUGAUUCUAUGAACUUGAACAGGAUCCAGUUUUAUUCUUCGCUCGCUAUGGUGCUUCAUAUGAACUUCCAUGUCAGGUGCCAUUUUGUCAGUCUGCCCCUCUGCUGCCAUCUGUCACACAGCAACAGAGUGUGAUGAAAUAUUGUUGGGAAGGUUUAACCUCUACUGCCAUACCACAACAGCCAGUGGGCCAACAUAAUAAAAUAGGAGGCACUACUUUCGGAGCAGCCCUUGUGCAAGAAAAAAAUGAGAAACAUUACCUUCCCCAGGAUAUUUAAAGUAAAUCAAUACAUUUCUGUUUAGAUAGCAAUCUGAGAAAAAGCAGAUUUUGAAUGAGAAGCUUUACAUCUCAGCUGUACUUAUACCAGGACUGUAUUGGAUUGAACAGCAUCUCUGGCAAUAAGAAAAAGUGAACAUACUGCAAUGAAGGCUCAAAAACAUUACCCGUACUCACUGCCUUUCAAACUGUAAUCCAGGCCAAUUGAAGAAGAUGGUUUUGAUCUGACAGAGAGUUUUGUGGCAGAGCUGCAAGUUUGUAGAAAAAUUCAUACAUAAAGCUGUCAUCACGAGAAAACACGUAUCAAUAUAAAAUUGUUUUCCUAAGAGCUUUCACUGAUCUCAAACUCCUUAAGCAUAAUGAAGAUGAUAGGUAUACCUACCUUUUAAGGCAUGUAAGGCAUCGUUAUUGAGCUAUUUUUGAGAAGUUUCAUCGCCAGGAUGCAACUCCUUAGGAAUUCUGAGAUCCACGUGGUGAGUGAGAGAGUAGCACAGGAUAAAUUAUUCAUACUCAUUUUUCUUGCUGUACUGUAUGUUAUGCCAUUUGGCAACCAAUUAACUCACACCAGUAUGACAGGAUUUUAAUUAAUAGGUCUCAAAGUUACUCCAACUACUGCACAGGAUUUUGUAGUUCAGUUCUUGUGUACUCAAUAUCAACGUCCCCCAAAAGUGAGGCUAGAUAUAGAGCACUUGUGAUCUAAUGCCCACUCCAAGUUCUUGUGCCUAAGAUUUUUCUCAGUGACCUGUUUUCAUUGACUCUUAGUUACUUAUGGUAAGACACCAGCAUUGAUUUAUUAGACAAGCAUUUUGUACAUGCUUUUGCUAUUCUUUUUAAGUUAUAGAGUUAGGGUUUUGUUGUUGUUGAGUGCUUUUUUCCUGUAAAAUAUUAGCUCGUUAGGGUUUUGCUGUUCAUAUAAAUUUCUGUGUAAACACUUGUCACAGUGAACACAGGUAACUUACUGAAAUGAUUAAGUACUGUGUGUCCGAGCCUGCAACAAAGCAAGAAGGUUUUCUACCCAGUUUCUUCGUACAAUGCCAGCCUUAAAAACGGCAGACCAAAUUAUUUGUAAAGGAAUACAAUAAAGUCUCACCAGUUUGGGCCAACUCAAUUGCUAGAAAUAUUUGUCUGCCUAAUUUUUGCAGUAGUUUCUCAUGUAUAUAAUUAUAGCUGCUUAACUACGAUGAUUAGUCUAUGUCCCAGUCACUGCUCUGACCCUGAUGGGAGGACUGGUAGCCUGGGGCUGCUGAAUCUUGCGCUACCGAUUCCCAGGUAUUCACUAGUGGAGAAUCUAUGUCAUCAGUAGGAAUUUUUAUUAUCAAAAUGAUAGAAAGGCCUCUACUGAAGCUUAAGCCUUCCUGCAUAUGUAUGAUAAAAGAUGUAUCCACCCAGAGUUCUGUAAACAGAAAAUUCAGAGGUGUUAAAAGCAGAUCUGAGAGUAACAUAGUCCACUCUUAUAAGCUGCUUAGUAGUUUAACUCUGAAGUCCCAGAUCCCCACUUCCACAUGUUAGUGCUCUCCCAGCUAUACUGAACUAACUUAUAGUUGUGCAAAGAAAGCCAAGAGGAAUGAAGAAGUUAAUCUGCAUCUGCAGUCGAAUAGAGGAUAGAUAUAAGCCAGUUUGCAUCUCGUGGGCCGGGGAUGAUUCACCAAGACUGAGGAUAUGCCCAGAGGGAAAGAUUUGCUACCUAUGCUGGAAAGAAGGGCAGUAGAGCUAGGAAGGAACUAGCCUAUCCAGUUUAUACCAAGUCAGAGCUUCUUUCCUUAUUGGGAAACUGAGAAUAACAAAUCAAAGCCAGAAUCCAGCCCAGUCUCACAGGCAGGGCUGGUGUCUCUACCAAGUGAGACUGCCCAACUUAUAGCAUUAGUAGUAAUUCUACGGGAAAGAAAUAAGAAAUGUUUUCAAAAAACUGAUUAUGUGCUACAGAGGUCAUAUGCAAAUAUACUUGCUGGUUACCUCCUGCAGGUAGUCUCAGGAAGCCGUCCUAAGACAUCUUUAUAGGUAAAUUGUGGUCUCCAUCACAAUAUUGUACACGACCAAUAUGUGAAAGUCAAGAUGAAAUGAGUAGAUGUUUCUACAUGUAACUGGGUGCAGAAGUUAGCCCAUAAGCACGCUUGAAAGUCAGAUUUCUCAUGGCGUCAGGCAAGGAAGAUGAGACUUCUGUAUUCAGCAUUAGGCAAUUCAUGUAUACUUCAGCAAGAACUAUGCUACAGCAACAGGAUAUCAUGUUUUAAAUAAUAAAGAUGAUAAUGACAGACUUCAAGACUGAAACCCCAUCUGCUUUUUCUCUCAGCAAUAGUAAGAAACAGGAUCCUGGGGCUGAUACCUCCAUGUCUUUUCGAAUGGCUAGAAGGUGCAAGCAUCAAAACAUUCAUAACUAUGAAGUGAUACACAACUUUUCUAUAAAUGGAACAUCUGACUCUUUACUGUCUUCUAGUAGUAAUCCAUAUCAAUUGCAGGGUUAUUUGCAGGACAGCAGUCCCUGUGACCUCAAUCUAUUUCUAUAAAGGGUCACAAAGCUGUCACUUUGCUGCUAAGUUCGACUUUUUCAGCUAGGGGUGCUAGUUGGGAAAUGGACAAUGGCACAGCAAUAUUCAGUCUUCACAGAAAGCUUUUUGUCCAUGAUUUGGUUUCUAUUUUUCCUCUCAUCCAAAAAGAGAGGCUUGCACAGUUAUUUGUGCUUCUGAAAAUCAGUUCCUCUCUCAGGCCCCACUUUGUGCAGACUAACAGUUUAAGUUUCUUCAGAAGAGGGGGGUAGGAACAAGUCACAGUUAAAGACCAGAGAUAUUUACCCUCUCUUCCCUGCCCUGAAGGAACUGAGGUGCUGCCAGCAAUUAGAGAUAGUUGGCAGUUCCCCCAGGAUUACAAUAAGCAGGAACCAGUAAGUGCACUCCGUUCUCAUCUACCUGCCCUAGAAAAGCUCAUUUGCCACUGAACAAUAGCAGGCACUUCACAGUUCCCUUUGAAUUCUUUCUGAUCUCUGAAAAUCAUCCAAAGCACAAAGAGUAACUACUGUUUGAGGUUAAAAUCCUAAUCUAGGAUCAGCGGCAAAAUUUUGCAACUCAUGUAACUCCUCAUAAGUAGUUUCAAAAUCUUUUAGUGAAAACACAAAGUAUGUGUUUGGAUGUUGUAACCAAUACUCAGAAGACAAUGAAAACAAGUUUGAGUGUCUGCUGUUGCAGUUGAUUAGUUACAUAAUUUCCAAACUUCUCUUCCUGCUUUGCAUACUAUUCAAUCAUUUUCAUACUUGUGUGGAAGCAGCACAGCUUUCUGAUUAAGCUUCUGUCUGUAUUCUGGCUGGUUUUGUAGUUUGCUUAAAGACCAUAGAGAAUAUGAUCGAUUUACAGCUGCUUGCAUAUGCUGUCAACGGGUAUACAUUCUCACUAUUACACGUAUGUAAGUUUCCAGUACUUCUUAUAAUAAUGUCAUUAAGUUGCCUCAUCCUGCGCUGCACAGUACAAAGUGUUUUGUUUUGAUUUACACAGGGCUGACUGACAGUCUCUUUAUUUCCUGAUUAUGAAUAAUGGACACGGCAAAACAGAACGAGCACAGGUAACUUAUAAUAAAAUUGUGGAAACUUUACAAAUCCGAGUAGUUUCAUAUGUAAAGCAUGUAUAGGAUUCCAGUCAGCUAUGAAGCUGUGAAAUAGGGUAAACUCAUAAACUCUGGGAUUAUGGGAUUUUAACGUGGCUCAUCACAUCCUAGGUGAGUACUCUCAUCAGAAAUGUGAUUCAUUAAAAAAAAAUAAAUAAUCAGGUGAAAUUAAACAAUCACUUUAAUACGAGAUCACAAACAGCUUUGUAGCAUCUUAAAUCUAUAGGGUAAUCUAGCCCUACAGGAACACUCACCUGUUUUGGUACAGUGGGAAACUGGAACAUGUUGGACUUAUUGUCAGAUUCCAGAUGAUCUCCUGCUUGACUGUCCUUCCUGAGAAUUUAUGUCCUUUUGUGAGAAUGAGUAGGAGAGUUUCUGACUUGCUGUUACAUCAGCAGUGGCCUGCCUCAUCUUCACGGGAGACUGUCCUGCUUCGCUUGUCUGGGGCACGUUGGCCUCCAGCACUUCUCCUGAGCAGAAGUCACUGACUGAGUCACAGCUGGGUGUUGGCUGGCUGAAGGAAAAAAAGAUGCUGAGGAAUGAGGCACCUGGCAAAAGCUUACAAAAAUACCAUAAACAAAAUCUUCUCCAGAUAAUGUUAUAAAAUAAAUAGUUCCCAAAUGCAGCACCUAGGCAUCUCAGCAAUUCUGCACUGCAUUUCACUGGCAGUGAAAUAGUUCACAUUAAUUUUAAUGCAUGAAUUUUAACAUUGGCCUAAAAAAAAAUCCAAUUUUAGGCUGGACGAUUGUGAUUCACAAAAAGUGUGGCAACUUACAAUAGGAUUUGUUUUGUUUAUUAUUUUCUGUUACUACAUUCAGCUUCUUAUCACCAAGUUUCAGAAAAGACUCCCGUCCCAUGCAAACUUGACCUCUAUAAACAGAGGGCUUUCCUGUGCAGUAAGUGAACAAUUUGGCACAAAUAGUAAUAUGCAUGUGGAGAACAUACUCUACUAUGUCUGGUACUCAUCAUCCCAAUUUGUUUCUGUGAGUGCUGCCAUUCACUAAGCAGCUAGAACACAGGCGCAGAGGAUAGAGAUUCUAUGCCACAUUCUGCCUUCUGGAGUCUGAUUCUGCAGUUCAGAUAACCAGCACUACAAAAACGAGAAUAAGACCACAGAUCAAAAAUUAUAUUCAGCUACAAAGUAAGUGAAUUUGGGUUAAUCUACUAUAGAUCUCUUACAGAGAUUUUGGAAGCUUGCUUUUAUUUUGCCUUGUUUCUCAGAAAAACUCAUUAGCCCUAAGUUUGCUGUAUUUAGCUAUCACUUCCCCUUAUGCACUAAACCAUUUAUUCUCCAGAAAAUCCAGAGAAUAUUAAAAAAAAUAAAUGAAUCUAUGACCAUACACCAAAACUAAGAGAACCACCACAAAACUUUGGUGGCACAGCACUGGCAUUUAAGGUUUCCUUGCAGAGAUGACAUAAGAUCUUUUUUAUUCUAUUCUACGUAGUCAACUAUCAGUAUUAUACAUCUAAAAAUAUCUAAGGGACAGAUGAAGCAUGUAAUAGUUCAUCAGAAAUGCUUUUUAUGUCUCUGAAACUAUACGCUGCUGUCACUAAUAGCUGGAGUACCAUAUGUGAAAAUGAGUUACUUGUUAAAUACUUAGUUAACUGGAGUCCUGUGUGACAUCUUCAGCAACAGCUCAGAAUGUUGCUAAGCAAAGAGAAGUAUGGAUGAGUCUUAGUAUGUCUUUGAACACUUGGCUGCAUGGACAUACAGUUAAGCUUUAUUUUAUUGACUAUUUUUAAGGAUCAGAGGUUGGAACUCAACAGCAAUUUCAUUAUUACCCUAUACCGAGAGAAAAUUUACUUGGCAAAGUGUGGUCAAGCCACACGGGUUGCGAACGCAGAAAGCAGAGUCUAGCAAUGCACACAGGAUCACAGCUUUUGAGAGGAGCUGAGCAACACUACAUUCAGUGCAUAAGGGUGCAACACUUCUGGGUUCUUUGGCACCACGAUGCAGAGAAGAAUAAGCUAUCUUGCUAUAUGUUCUUUUAUUUAAAGACUGAAAAAUGGGUGUUCAUAUUCUAAGGAUUUUCUCCCUUUACUGUGUUUUCUUGCUUGAAAUUGCAUUGGCCAAGUUUUCCAAUGAAAGAAAACACAGGAAGUUUAUUAGUAGUUUGAAAAGGGUACACACUGAUUUAAAUCACUAUUGGUUAAGAAACGGUAUGCAAUUGCAGAAGAAAGCUUCUGCCUUAUGACCCGCUAAUAAAGUGGAAUUACAUUGCAAGAAGCCAAAGCCAAAAAGGGUGGCACCUAGCAGAGAGAUUAAGGAUGAAGCUUUAGAAGACACUGUAUCAAGCAACCCUGCAGGCUGAACCCAGCAAAUCAGAGACUGAGCAGUGCUGGGCUAAACAAGCCCCUUAGAAAUGCUGCCUGUUUCACUGGAUUGCCACAGACUUGUAUCAAACUGAACACAACCACAUCCCAGCUGUGCAAUGCCUCUACAUGGUUAUGACUAUGUCCAUUUCGUUGCAGGCAACAGAAAGUUGUUUUCAAAUGAUUACUGCAUACCACAUAUAUUGCAUUCUGUGAUGUAAUAUUUAUGUAUGCUCGAUGUUGUGCAUAAGCAGGACCCUUCGUUACACAAAAACAUUUGACUUUGAAGAAACAGUGGAAACAUACAAAAGGAACAAGCAUGCAGGCCACAACCUUCACUGCACAAUAAUUACUGGAUGGAAGUUUGCUGGUGCUUAUAGAAAGAUUGCAAAAAAAAAAAAAAAAAGCCAACAACCAGUCAGCAAGGAGGCAUGAGGCACAGGAAGCUGUAAUAGUGAAGUGAGACUUGUUUGUGGCUAAGCAUAUGGUUGGCUCUUUAUUUAUGUUUGUCUCUUUAAACAUAAGAACUUGAGAGCCAAGCAAUGCCUAGAAAAGAAGAAUAGAAUUAAAGCCAAAACUACUUUGUGGUCUUUCUUACCUUUUCAGGGAAAAACAAACAAAGAUAGGUACUCAGUAAAUUGACAAGACUGCAUCAAAGAUAUCUGAUACCCAACUGAAACAAGAUUCUAACAUUCAUUAAUAAAAUCUUAAGUAAAUUUACUCACGUGAGCAUUCAGCUUGUUAUUUUAACUGCACAUAAUAAAGCACAGCUUAGGGCAGAGGUAUUUUUACUAUUUAUGUGGAUAAAUUAUCUGCAUGGAUUAAACCCAUGCAUAUAAUCCUACUUUGCAGAUUACAAAAAAGCACUGAUAAUGUUAACCAUUGGCAGCAGUUCUCUUCAAUGAAUCUUGCUCUUGUUUCUGCAUUCACAGUAUUUAGAUAUGUUCAAAAUGGAGCUCUGCCAUAUGUGGUUACAUGACUUGACCAAGAGACAUCACAAUUAUGGCCCUUGGCAGUCUGACUAAAAAAAAAUAUCAGCUCCUGCAGUGAGAUUCCCUAAGAAAUCCAGGAUAAAGCUCUUCUGGCUUUUAAAAGUGUGUAGCACGGUGCUCUUGCAACUUCAGCAUACUUCUUAAAAGCAAAGUAAGAUUUUAUCAGAUUUUAUGAAUGAUAUUUAAAAAAAAAUGAGUGUAAGAAAAAAAGUUGGCUGCUGUUACUGCGUGACACAAGUCAAAAAAGUAACCACAUACAGCUAUUGUAGCAGGUAACAUCCUCAGCAAUAGGCUUGGCCACUUUCACAGUCAGCACAAUGCUUGAGUUGUUUAAGUCUCAAGUCUGUGAUUUUUCCAGAACUGUCCAGGAGAAAAACAGAUAAACCUCUGUACCGAGUCAACCGUGAAGGGAAAGAAGUGACUGAAAGAGAGAUCGGUAGCUGACAAACUUCACAUGCUUCUCUUUUGACACAGCCAGUGCUAACUACAGAUUUGACUGCAACGAAGGUGUGGAACAAAACAUCUGGUUCUUCAGGGAAAAUAGAGGGCAUCUCAGCCAUCUUCUCAUAGAUCACGUAUAUCAGCAUUUGACACAGAAUAGGUGUGGACGUAUAUAACGCAUAUCUCCCUGAUCCCCCUUACUCACCAUUGUGCUGUGCAGAACAGAGGAAGGCCUGCCAUGUGCUCACAGACUUUGGUGCGUCUGGCCAUGACCUGUCUUUCUAGUUUCCGUGCAGCAGCAUACAAACAUUCCUUUCUGUUAUGGAAGUCCUUAGAGUUCCUUUGCUCUUGGGUAAAAUGACUAAGACAAAUCUUAAGUGAAGAAAAUUAGCUUUAUUUAUGUAAAUUAGAAAAAUGAAUUGUUAGAGCUUUGGUCAAACGGUUAAUUCUGUACAAUUUACAAUUAUAUCUAUAUACAAAACUUUUAAUAAAAUACAGUACAGCACA